GAUGAACGCUAGCUACAGGCUUAACACAUGCAAGUCGAGGGGAAACGGCAUUGAGUGCUUGCACUCUUUGGACGUCGACCGGCGCACGGGUGAGUAACGCGUAUCCAACCUUCCCAUUACUGUGGGAUAACCUGCCGAAAGGCAGACUAAUACCGCAUAGUCUUCGAUGACGGCAUCAGAUUUGAAGUAAAGAUUUAUCGGUAAUGGAUGGGGAUGCGUCUGAUUAGCUUGUUGGCGGGGUAACGGCCCACCAAGGCAACGAUCAGUAGGGGUUCUGAGAGGAAGGUCCCCCACAUUGGAACUGAGACACGGUCCAAACUCCUACGGGAGGCAGCAGUGAGGAAUAUUGGUCAAUGGACGGAAGUCUGAAACCAGCCAAGUAGCGUGCAGGAUGAACGGCCCUAUGGGUUGUAAAACUGCUUUUGUAUGGGGAUAAAGUUAGGGACGUGUCCUUAUUUGCAGGUACCAUACGAAUAAGGACCGGCUAAAUUCCGUGCCAGCAGCCGCCGUAAG
rnacentral:rRNA from 1 species